GGGCAGAGAACGAUGCUCCCAUGGCAACAUUUGGAUUUCUGAACUUCAUCCCUGAGUCCCGGGCUGAGCGAGCAGAGCAGUGAAACUCAGAAGCAGAAGAGCCUUCCAGAAUCCUUUGCAGGUUGCGCUCUGUGAUGCCACCCCCUGGCACUACGACAAUUCUACCCUUUGCCUGUUCUGCAAGUUUCUUAAUCAAGGAUAAUCCUUCCAGUGCAGAGCUAUCGCAGCCACUGGUCA
rnacentral:lncRNA from 1 species